CCCUGACAGUCGCAUGGUGCGGCUGACUUUAGCCACGACAGGAGAUUCAAAUG
rnacentral:sRNA from 12 species